rnacentral:rRNA from 1 species
GACGAACGCUGGCGGCGUGCUUAACACAUGCAAGUCGAACGGAAAUGCCCUGGUUUGGUGGGGUGCUCGAGUGGCGAACGGGUGAGUAACACGUGAGUAACCUGCCCUAGACUUUGGGAUAACUUCAGGAAACUGGGGCUAAUACCGGAUAGGAGACCCGCCUGCAUGGUGGGGGUUGGAAAGUUUCUGCGGUUGGGGAUGGACUCGCGGCCUAUCAGCUUGUUGGUGGGGUAGUGGCUUACCAAGGCGUUGACGGGUAGCCGGCCUGAGAGGGUGACCGGCCACAUUGGGACUGAGACACGGCCCAGACUCCUACGGGAGGCAGCAGUGGGGAAUAUUGCACAAUGGGCGGAAGCCUGAUGCAGCAACGCCGCGUGCGGGAUGACGGCCUUCGGGUUGCAAACCGCUUUCGCCUGUGACGAAGCGUGAGUGACGGUACUGGGUAAAGAAGCACCGGCUAACUACGUG